rnacentral:lncRNA from 1 species
CCUGAAUUUUUUUCUGGGAACUAAAAUGCGCUUAUGGUACCUACAAAUGUCCCAAAUAAACUCAAAAAUUAGUCUCAGGGCCUACUCGACCAAUUUUGAAAAUUAGGCAUGGCGGCUUCACCUUGCUCCAACGACGGCGUCGCCACCCGCGGUUGCGGUCCGCCUCGAGUCAGCCGUUUUCGGCAGUUUUUGGCCAAAUUCGAUCGAUUUUACAUCGAUUCCUACGAGCACACACCCUUAAGGGCCUCGGUGGGCCGAAAAAAUACGAAAAACCAAAACUCACUGGCGGUGGGGCUCUCCAGUGCGACGGCUCCUCCGGCUCACGUUGCGGUUGGGUGUUUCGUUUCAGUCAAUAUGUAGAGAAGAAAACAGUGAUCACAAUGGUGGAAAAAUUACACGAAACGGGAAUCGAGAAGGGCGUCAUCGAACGCGGUUUGUAAAAUUUCCUGCGGCGGUGCCACCAGGCUUCGACGGUAUUUUUUCAACCAAUUGGCCUGUUCUUUCACUCCAAUUUGGUCAUGGCUAGGCUUAAAAUUGAAUUUCUUGCAAAAGAGGAAACUAUUACCUUUUUUGGCUGUCGAAAAGGGUUUCAGUGCUGCGGGGGGUUACGACGGCUGGGUUAUCUUCUCCGGUGAGGGGUUAUGGCGGUUAGGAUUAGGAUUUAGGUGCGGAUUGGGUUAUUUAUACCCAUCCACUUUUGAUAUGGGUCGUCCAUCGCUUUUGAUCUGGACCAUCUGAUCGUGAUUAAAUAGGGGGUGAAUAUGGACCGUUCAUCGCGAUCCAAUCUAGGCCAUUCGUGCGCCAUUCACUAUGGGUCGUCUGUGCGCACGGGAUCAUACCUCAACCAUUCAAUUGCGCGCACGUGGAUCGCCCACGUGGCUCUUUUCGCGUC